CCGGCCCUCUCCGCGCCCACGUACCCACGUGAGCGCCCAGCCGGCUACAUUCCUACUCCCCACCCCCCGCUCCUACCCCACCAGCGGAGAGCCGAGUUUCACAACCACGCACGGGUACACAAAAACACGGAGAAGCGCACGAACGUGCACACGCGCCUCAACAACUACGCGGACGCCCGCUGCCCACACUCCGGCCUCGCGGUGCUGUACGUGUGACUGCUUGGAGUGAGCCGGGAAAAGCUGGUGGAGUCUCGGGGGUUGUCGUGAGGCUCAAAUGAGAGGAUGUAUAUGAAAACUCUGUAAAGUGCCAAGCAAAUUUAAGACGUUAUUGCCAGUUUGUCUCUAUGUAUCCUGAGAUAAUGUAUUUAUGUGUUUCUUUACAUCGACUUGUGUAUCUGUGUCUCUGUCUCUAUCUAGGUUUGUAUGUGAGCCCCUAUGUGUGGAAUUAAAAAUACAUACAUUUAAAAAAUCA